GACGAACCGUGCGAACGUUGUUCGGAAUCACUGGGCUUAAAGGGCGCGUAGGCGGACACUCAAGUCGGUGGUGAAAUCCUCCGGCUCAACCGGAGAAGAGCUGUCGAUACUGGGUGUCUCGAGGGGUGUAGGGGUCUGUGGAACUUUGGGUGGAGCGGUGAAAUGCGUAGAGAUCCAAAGGAACGCCGGUGGCGAAAGCGACGGACUGGACACCUUCUGACGCUGAGGCGCGAAAGCCAGGGGAGCAAACGGG
rnacentral:rRNA from 1 species